GGGGCAGACUGGUUUCGACAGCAAGACCAAUGGAUAAGUAAGCAUGCAGAGAACCGUGGCGCGAUCUCUUUAAUCCCUUGCUACAAAAUUUUAACUGGCAACCAAGAGUUCGCUCUCGCUGCUUAAUCUGAAUCAUAGUAGGAUUAGCGUUUUUCCCGAAGCACAGUAAGGAAACGAGAUAUCCCGCAGAAGUUCUGUUUCGCGACGUCUGAUCACGGGGUAUAGCAAUGCGGAAAUAAGUCCCGAGAGUCUUCGAUUCGGGAACGAAAACCUCAGAAGAUAAGCGCAAAGUUGGCUGUCCGCUGUCUGCUUUGCGACGAAAACCAAGAACGGAAUAAGCAUGUAGAAAUCUUAUGUGUUGCUUGUUUGGACGAGGGUUCGAAUCCCUCCUGCUCCACUA
rnacentral:tmRNA from 2 species